rnacentral:rRNA from 1 species
AACGAACGCUGGCGGCAUGCCUAACACAUGCAAGUCGAACGAGACCUUCGGGUCUAGUGGCGCACGGGUGCGUAACGCGUGGGAACCUGCCCUUAGGUUCGGAAUAACUCCCCGACAGGGGUGCUAAUACCGGAUAAUGUCUUCGGACCAAAGAUUUAUCGCCUUUGGGUGGGCCCGCGUUGUAUUAGCUAGUUGGUAGGGUAAAAGCCUACCAAGGCGACGCUCCAUAGCUGGUCAGAGAGGAUGAGCAGCCACACUGGGACUGAGACACGGCCCAGACUCCUACGGGAGGCAGCAGUGGGGAAUAUUGGACAAUGGGCGAAAGCCUGAUCCAGCAAUGCCGCGUGAGUGAUGAAGGCCUUAGGGUUGUAAAGCUCUUUUACCCGGGAUGAUAAUGACAGUACCGGGAGAAUAAGCUCCGGCUAACUCCGUG